rfam:Dipodomys ordii contig_41984, whole genome shotgun sequence.
AUCCUUUUCCAGCUCAUAAGUAUGAUAAUUAGGUUCUCACAUGCUUACGUGACAUGUACCUCCUUCAAAGCUUGUUACAAUAUAGGUAUAUUACCUGUCUGAUG